rnacentral:rRNA from 1 species
GACGAACGCUGGCGGCGUGCCUAAUACAUGCAAGUAGGACGCAGUUGCGAACGGGUGAGUAACGCGUAGGUAACUACCUAUUAGAGGGGGAUAACUAUUGGAAACGAUAGGUAAUACCGCAUACUAGUAGAUGGACCUGCGUUGUAUUAGCUAGUAGGUAGGGUAAUGGACUACGGAGGCAACGAUACAUAGCCGAGCGGAGAGGGUGAUCGGCCCCAAUGUGACUGAGACACGGCCCAGACUCCUACGGGAGGAAGCAGUAGGGAAUCUUCGGCAAUGGGGGGAACCCUGACCGAGCAACGCCGAGUGAGUGAAGAAGGUUUUCGGAUCGUAAAGCUCUGUUGUUAAGGAAGCGGUACUUAACCAGAAAGGGACGGGUAACUACGUGCCAGCAGCCGCGGUAAUUC